rnacentral:rRNA from 1 species
AAAUACAGUCACAUCACCCUGAACACACCUGAUCUCAUCUGAUCUCGGAAGCUAAGCAGGAUUGGGCCUGGUGAGUACUUGGAUGGGAGAGAAAAUAAGAGAAAUGUUCUUA